rnacentral:snRNA from 1 species
GGAUGUGAGGGCGAUCUGGCUGCGACAUCUGUCACCCCAUUGAUCGCCAGGGUUGAUUCGGCCGAUCUGGUUGGCUAGGCGGGUGUCCCCUUCCUCUCUCACCGCUCCGUAUGUAUCCCUCCCGAAGCUGCGCGCUCGGUCGAAGAGGACGACCUUCCCCGUUUAUUUUUCCAUGCUCGACCUUGUGCUCA